rnacentral:siRNA from 1 species
ACAACAAAUUAAUGGUGUCUCGCA